GUACCGCUGCCACUGCUGAUGAGAACACUGUGUUCCAAUAGACACCCUGACCUGUAACCCGUUCCGUGCCGAGCCAGGCCGGGAACAGCCUGUACCGCAGCAGGCUGUUCUCUCCGCUCAGCUGACAGCACAUAUCAUCAACAGUGGUGUGCAGCCGAGCCCCAGCCUGCCUGCCUGCCUGCCUGACACACGGGUGUGUAAGCACCGACAUAACAGCACGCCACACUGCCCGAUAAGACGCGCGGUGGGACGGAUUACUGUUUCUGUAAGAGACGGUUGCUGCCUGGUGCUAAUUUUCCUACAUUGUGACUUCUACUGGGCGGAGAUCAUUUGUCAUCGUCCCCUAAAAGAACAAGUGUUGACAUUACUGCGGUGUUUACAGUAUUUUCAAAUAUUUUCUGAAAGAGGCGCAGCACCCAAAUACCUCAAAUUAAAAUAUUUUUUGGACCAAAUUAAAUGUAAACAAACUUGAUUGUAAAAUGCAUUUAAGGAUUAAAAGUAAAAGUGCUCACCAUAAAGGUCCUCGCUCAAGUGGUGUUAUUUGUAAUUAUUUAUGGAGCAUGAUGUCGUUUUAUAAGGACGUCUUAUGUAGUUUUAUUGGUUGUUAUUUUGCAAGUCAAAUCUUAAUCUGCAUAGAAAAUAGCACAGCUGUUUAGCAGUAAGUAUGUCAAAACUGUAACUAGGCUACUUCCUACCUCAAAUGUGACUUUAACCACAUGAAGUUUUCAUUUUACCAGAAUUAAAGCAAUUAAAGCACUAUACUAAAUAAUAAAGCCGCAGACUGGAUGGCUCUGGGAAUGUUCUCCUCUGUCCUGUUUAUCUCAUAGACUGGUGUCACUACACAGUCUGUGCAGAGGGACACAGAGCGAUCAGUGGACACAGGGACAGCUCUGUGUAUAAUGAUAUUACUACAUUAUUAGGACUCCAACAUCAUGACCACAUCUCCAAGCAACAGUAGUAAAUAGCAGGCAUUUGGUGCUGGUUGACUGACAUGAAAACAAAUCAUAUGUGUGCAUGCCAUCCAUUACGAUAAAAGAAGGCUGUUCAUUCUCCUUUUCUUUAGGUAAGAACUGCAUGUCCACACCAUCUCCAAUGAACACUUUUAUUGCAGCUUGAAUUAGUGUUCAAGCAUGAAAUUUAACAGAUAAAUCUUUUUUAUUUGUUUCAUUAAUACUUGGCUUGUGUACAGCCAGCAUGUCCCAGGUGAGAUACUAUGUAAUAAAAGUUGGAGUUGUCAAAACUGGCCAAAAAAGGCAGGUAUCUUAUUGGGAGACCUUAAACUGUUUACUUACCUCUAUAACUGCCUCUGUGACUGUGCUAAAGUUAGCCACUGAUGACCAAAAUUGUUGACAUUAUCAGUUAUCAAUAGCUAAUCAUAGCAACAUGUUAGCACUUAAGUCAUUUAAGAUAGCCAUUAGUUUAGCUAGCCUGUUGCUUAGCGUUACUGUUCCAAAACAUCAGCUUUAUUGUUCAGCAUAUCAGACAUAUAGACAAAAACUUAGACAUUAACAUUAACUGACUGAGUUGAUUUAAGAUCAAAAAAGGUAGCUGAUGUUAGCGUAACAUCGCUAUUGGACGAUGACGCUAACGUUAGCCAACAAUAACAAACGGUAACUAGCUCUGCUCAUGAACUAGAGAAGCAAACAUUUUGUAAAGAUGUAGCAAAGUAUAAAGUUGAUCAUGUGAAAAUUUCUUAAAGGUGCAUCUGUUAUGACAGCAGGACUUUUCAGUAAUUACCUAUAAAUGAACUGAACGGGCAAGAUUGUGAGAAAGGCACUCGCAGCUGCACAGCUUUUUGAGAUUUCACUCUGUGUGCUUUUUUCAUGAACAACCUUCUUAGAUGGAACAUUCCUAGAACCAUAAUACUUCUGCUUUAAAUACGUUUUUUUCAUUCUUACGUUCUACGUUCUUUAAAGGUUGCUAAACUAAACCAGAACCGUUUGGAAAUGUUAACUCGGAUAAUUUGUGGAAGGAGUAUAAUGCUGUGACACGUAGCCUACUCCCAUUUCAUCUCAAGAGCAGUUCAGUAAAAAAUGUGCAUGCUCCAGUAACGCACCAGCAUGUGAAAACUGUGGACUACAUAAAAACAGUACUUCCACAAACACGUUUAGUUAUUUCUAUCUAACAUGUUAUAGCCUAUGUGAAAUUUAAAGUGCUCACUGUGAAGGAUGGUCCCUGUCAAAGUGGUGAAUGACAAGUUCAAGUAAACCUGGUCCAGGUGCGGGUAUGUGUAAUUACUUCUUGGGAAGGUAAUGCAUCACAUUUUAUGAGCACUUGUCUCACAGUUCAAAUCUUAAUCUGCAAAGAAAAUAGUGCAGCUAUUUUGCAUUAAACUACACUAUAAUUUUGUCUUCCAUUACUUCCUACCGAGCCUGAUACGGUAGCCUAAUUAGACUUUCCAUCUUGGAACAGUACAAGUAAAUUUUGAAAGUAAAACUACUCACUGUCAAAGUGGUGCUAAGGUAAAGUAGUAAAACCUGACCCAGGUUUUAUUACUUUGCCUCAUGUUAUGUGUAAUAAUUCCUUGAAAUGUUGAGAAGUAGUGUAAUAUAUCAUAUUUUAUGAGCUCUCGUUUUGCAAGUCAAGUCUUAGUCUGCGUUGAAAAUGGUGUCAUUAUUGUGUGGUAAAACAUGCAAUAAUUUCCUGUGAAAUGCAGUAACCUAACUUGUUUAUAUAGCCUAAUUAGGUUUCCGCAUGUGACCCAUAAAGCAGGGUUAGAAGGGUUAGAAGCAUUAAACCUAGUAUUAAGCUAAUAUAAAUUUAAAUAUUCAAAGUAAAAGUACUCAGUGUGAAGGACAGUAAGAAUAGUCCCUGUCAAUGUGUCAAAUGACAGCUUAAAGGUAUAUGAACUGUAAACCUGGCCCAUGUGUUGUAAUUACUUCUUGUGUUAGGAAGUAUAAUACAUUGUAUUUUAUUAGCUCUUACUUUAAAAGCCUGUAAAGAAAGAGUACUGCAGUUAUCAGGGGAAUACAACGUAGUAUAGCAUACAGUAAUUUGAUCUGAAAUAUAAUGGAAAUUUCAAGAAGCACUAUCUCAAAGUUGGAUUUAAAUACAGCGCCUGAGUAAAUAUGUUUGAUUACUUAGUAACCAACUUGUUCCCCUUUGUGCGACGGCGCAGACGUUUGUCUUAAACCUGUAUUACAGUGUCCUUUAAAAACAACUCCUGCGUUACUGUAUUCCAGAACAUAAGAAAUGUAAUGGGAGCUUUAUUCUUGUAUGAAAUCUGAAGAGAAAAUAUUGGACUUUUGCCAGGUUUGGGUGCACCCAGCAAGUUUGGGGCAUAUUUUAAAAUCACCUAUUUUGCUCUGAGGGAUAUUUCCGCCUCAUAGACAUUUCAUUGUAUCUGCUUAAAUAUAAUCUGCCUUUUUAUCUAUUAAAUACACCGGCAUGUUGUCAAUGCAUGUCAGUGUAGCCAUCACAUGGAGUGAAGAAUUCAAAAACACAGAAGGGAAAGUCAUGAGAGGGUGAGUGCAAUGGGAUCAGAGUAGUUUAGAGUUGCAGGAGUUAUUGUCCCAACAGUUUGGAAAAACCUGCAUAGGAUCUGGCAAAAGAUUUGUUUUUUAAAACUUGUUUUUAACCACAUUCAGUGAAAAAUU